AACGAACGCUGGCGGCAUGCCUAACACAUGCGAGUCGAACGAGACCUUCGGGUCUAGUGGCGCACGGGUGCGUAACGCGUGGGAACCUGCCCUUAGGUUCGGAAUAACUCCCCGAAAGGGGUGCUAAUACCGGAUAAUGUCUUCGGACCAAAGAUUUAUCGCCUUUGGAUGGGCCCGCGUUGGAUUAGCUAGUUGGUAGGGUAAAAGCCUACCAAGGCGACGAUCCAUAGCUGGUCUGAGAGGAUGAUCAGCCACACUGGGACUGAGACACGGCCCAGACUCCUACGGGAGGCAGCAGUAGGGAAUAUUGGACAAUGGGCGAAAGCCUGAUCCAGCAGUGCCGCGUGAGUGAUGAAGGCCUUAGGGUUGUAAAGCUCUUUUACCCGGGAUGAUAAUGACAGUACCGGGAGAAUAAGCUCCGGCUAACUCCGUG
rnacentral:rRNA from 1 species